GGCCUCGUAGUUCAGCUGGUAGGGCAUGCGUGUAAAAAGCGUGGGCGGCGUCCAUGCGUGGGUUCGAUUCCCACUGAGGCUA
rnacentral:tRNA from 1 species